UUGCUUUGGUAGCCCAUAUACUAAAAUUUGAAUGAUACAGAGAAGAUGAGCAUGGCCCCUGAGAAAGGAUGACAUGCAAAUUCAUCAAGCGUUCCAUAUUUAU